rnacentral:lncRNA from 1 species
ACAAAUGCUGAAGGGACCCACCCACUCCACGGUGCUCCUCUCUGGACCCAGAACUAGGCACAGACCACACCCAAACACCAAUUUCCAACCCAAAGAGAUCAUUUUUUAAGCGAGGCAAAGAGACAGGGUGGUUGAGUUUGAAUAGUGCAGAAACAGCAGCAAAUAGCUUUGCAGGAGGGAUUUUCAAAGGCAAGAAAGGGAGGUCUGUGUUAGAAUGAGCUAGCGUUAGCUAGGAAAUUCUGGUUGGUCUGUCAGGGUAGCAAAACUGGGAAUUUUGAUUACUGGACCUUGGUAGCUAUCUUUAGGAAAGGGCCUUGGUAGCUAGUUUUAGGAAAGGGCCUUGGUAGCUAGCUUUAGGAAUGUGGAAGUAUCUAUGCAAGGGAAUCUAAUGAGUUAGCAGGGGAGAAGGAAUUGAGGAGGGCAGGACCUGUCAGCACCAGGUUUGCUAUUAGAGCCUUUUAAAUGUAAUAGAAAAAGUUGAAAAAUUGCAGCACACAUUUUCAGCACACAUUACCAAUUUUCUUUCUCCUUUUAGUUAAUGAAUCUAAGCUAUUAGUUUAAAAUUAGGCAUCCUUGGAUAUUAAAAUUACUGUGGCAACAGACCCAUACACCCACAAAGCCACUGUCCUUUGUGAUUCAUGGAAAUGCUUGCAUCACAUGAAUGGCAAGGGUACUACGUGGCAUUGCUGCUAUUUAGUCAGUAAAUAAAGUCCACUCGCCUUAGUGACGACAUCAUAAUUUGAAGUGGCCACAGAUACUGUUCUUAUGCCUACAGUCAUUCACAAAUGCGUACCUUGGUGUCAUAGCCAGUGACUGAGGAGAUUCACAGAGUGACUAAAGAAACCCA